rnacentral:rRNA from 1 species
UACGGAGGGUGCAAGCGUUAUCCGGAUUCACUGGGUUUAAAGGGUGCGUAGGUGGGCUGGUAAGUCAGUGGUGAAAUCUCCAGGCUUAACUUGGAAACUGCCAUUGAUACUAUCAGUCUUGAAUACCGUGGAGGUCAGCGGAAUAUGUCAUGUAGCGGUGAAAUGCUUAGAUAUGACAUAGAACACCAAUUGCGAAGGCAGCUGGCUACACGAAUAUUGACACUGAUGCACGAAAACGUGGGGAUCAAACAGG